rnacentral:rRNA from 1 species
GUAACAAGGUCUCCGUAGGUGAACCUGCGGAGGGAUCAUUACUGAGUGAGGGCUUCGGUCCGACCUCCAACCCUUUGUGAACCAAACUUGUUGCUUCGGGGGCGACCCUGCCGCCACGGCGGCGCGGCGCCCCCGAAGGCCAUCAAACACUGCAUCAUUGCGUCGGAGUUAAAGUAAAUCAAAUAAAACUUUCAACAACGGAUCUCUUGGUUCCAGCAUCGAUGAAGAACGCAGCGAAAUGCGAUAAGUAAUGUGAAUUGCAGAAUUCAGUGAAUCAUCGAAUCUUUGAACGCACAUUGCGCCCUCUGGUAUUCCGGGGGGCAUGCCUGUUCGAGCGUCAUUUCACCACUCAAGCCUGGCUUGGUAUUGGGCGUCGCGGCUCCGCGCGCCUUAAAGUCUUCCGGCUGAGCUGUCCGUCUCUACGCGUUGUGGCAACUAUUCGCGUGGGAGGUCGGGUGGCCGCGGCCGUUAAAUCCUUCAAAGGUUGACCUCGGAUCAGGUAGGGAUACCCGCUGAACUUAAGCAUAUCAAUAAGGCGGAGGAA